rnacentral:rRNA from 1 species
UACGGAGGGUGCGAGCGUUGUCCGGAAUCAUUGGGCGUAAAGGGCGCGUAGGUGGCGGGACAAGCGUGCGGUGAAAGCCUGGGCCUCAACCCCGGGUCGGCCGUGCGAACUGUUUGCUUGAGCACUGUAGAGGCAGGCGGAAUUCCACGUGUAGCGGUGAAAUGCGUAGAGAUGUGGAGGAACACCGAUGGCGAAGGCAGCCUUCUGGGCCAACACUGACGCUCAUGCACGAAAGCGUGGGGAGCAAACAGG